GGAAGCGCCACUCUUGUGGGCCGUGGAAAAUGUCGCCAGCUACCACAUAACCAUUUCGAGGUUUCUCCAGAUGGAACCGAUAACAUUCGACAUGAAGGAUGCCCAAGGCUCCACCAAACAUCGUCUGGUCUCCGAACAGAAUUUCAAUCCGCAAUUGGACGAGCAAUUCAUCAACAACGACCAUUCGGUUCGUCCAUUUCCAGUCUUCCGCUCAGCCAAGAAACUUUUUUCAUCAAAUACUCUUGGAUUCUUGAAGAUAUCGUGGCGAUAAACCAAUAACCCC